AUUGAACGCUGGCGGCAUGCCUUACACAUGCAAGUCGGACGAGUGGCGGACGGGUGAGUAACGUCUCGGAACGUACCGAGUAAUGGGGGAUAACUUUUCGAAAGGACAGCUAAUACCGCAUACCAUCCGAUCGGCCCAUGUCUGAUUAGCUGGUUGGCGGGGUAAAGGCUCACCAAGGCGACGAUCAGUAGCGGGUCUGAGAGGAUGACCAGCCAAACUGGAACUGAGACACGGCCAAGACUCCUACGGGAGGCAGCAGUGGGGAAUUUUGGACAAUGGGCGCAAGCCUGAUGCAGCCAGGCCGCGUGUCUGAAGAAGGCCUUCGGGUUGUAAAGGACUUUUGUCAGGGAAGCGGUACCUGAAGAAUAAGCACCGGCUAACUACGUGCCAGCAGCCGCGGUAAUAC
rnacentral:rRNA from 1 species